rnacentral:rRNA from 1 species
CCUACGGGUGGCAGCAGUAGGGAAUAUUGCGCAAUGGGGGCAACCCUGAAGCAGCAACGCCGCGUGGAGGAUGAAGGUUUUAGGAUUGUAAACUCCUUUUCUGAGGGACGAUAAUGACGAUAUCUCCCCAAUAAUCACCGACUAACUCCGUGCCAGCAGCCGCGGGAAUACGGAGGGUGCAAGCGUUACUCGGAAUCACUGGGGGUAAAGAGUGCGGAGGCGGGAUUGUAAGUCAGAUGUGAAAGCCUGUGGCUUAACUACCGAACUGCAUUUGAAACUGUGAUUCUAGAGUGUUGGAGAGGGAGGUGGAAUUCUUGGUGUAGGGGUAAAAUGCGUAGAUAUCAAGAGGAAUACUCAUGGCGAAGGCGACCUACUGGAACAUUACUGACGCUCAUGCACGAAAGCGUGGGGAGCAAACAGGAUUAGAUACCCCUGUAGUC